GGUAGAAUAGGUUCAGUCAGUCCAGAGGUGGUAGAAUAGGUUCAGUCAGUCCAGAGGUGGUAGAAUGGGUUCAGUCAGUCCAGAGGUGGUAGAAUAGGUUCAGUCAGACCAGAGGUGGUAGAAUAGGUUCAGUCAGUCAUUCCAGAGGUGGUAGAAUAGGUUCAGUCAGUCCAGAGGUGGUAGAAUAGGUUCAGUCAGUCCAGAGGUGGUAGAAUAGGUUCAGUCAGUCCAGAGGUGGUAGAAUAGGUUCAGUCAGUCCAGAGGUGGUAGAGUAGGUUCAGUCAGUCAGUCCAGAGGUGGUAGAGUAGGUUCAGUCAGUAAGUCCAGAGGUGGUAGAAUAGGUUCAGUCAAUCCAGAGGGUAUUAGAAUAGGUUCAGUCAGUCCAGAGGUGGUAGAAUAGGUUCAGUCAGUCCAGAGGUGGUAGAAUAGGUUCAGUCAGUCCAGGAGGUGGUAGAAUAGGUUCAGUCAGUCCAGAGGUGGUAGAAUAGGUUCAGUCAGUCCAGAGGUGGUAGAAUAGGUUCAGUCAGUCCAGAGGUGGUAGAGUAGGUUCAGUCAGUCAGUCCAGAGGUGGUAGAAUAGGUUCUGUCAGUCCAGAGGUGGUAGAGUAGGUUCAGUCAGUCAGGCCAGAGGUGGUAGAAUAGGUUCAGUCAGUCCAGAGGUGGUAGAAUAGGUUCAGUCAGUCCAGAGGCGGUAGAAUAGGUUCAGUCAGUCCAGAGGUGGUAGAGUAGGUUUUAUCAGUCCAGAGGUGGUAGAUUAGGUUGAGUCAGUCAGUCCAGAGGUGGUAGAAUAGGUUCAGUCAGUCCAGAGGUGGUAGAAUGGGUUCAGUCAGUCCAGAGGUGGUAGAAUAGGUUCAGUCAGUCCAGAGGUGGUAGAAUAGGUUCAGUCAGUCAGUCCAGAGGUGGUAGAAUAGUUUCAGUCAGUCCAGAGGUGGUAGAAUAGGUUCAGUCAGUCCAGAGGUGCUAGAAUAGGUUCAGUCAGUCAGUCCAGAGGUGGUAGAAUAGGUUCAGUCAGUCAGUCUAGAGGUGGUAGAAUAGGUUCAGUUAGUCCAGAGGUGGUAGAAUUGGUUCAGUCAGUACAGAGGAGGUAGAAUAGGUUCAGUCAGUC
ensembl:lncRNA